rnacentral:rRNA from 1 species
CCCGCGGGCUAUCUGCAGUCGAGCGGACAGAUGGGAGCUUGCUCCCUGAUGUUAGCGGCGGACGGGUGAGUAACACGUGGGUAACCUGCCUGUAAGACUGGGAUAACUCCGGGAAACCGGGGCUAAUACCGGAUGGUUGUUUGAACCGCAUGGUUCAAACAUAAAAGGUGGCUUCGGCUACCACUUACAGAUGGACCCGCGGCGCAUUAGCUAGUUGGUGAGGUAAUGGCUCACCAAGGCAACGAUGCGUAGCCGACCUGAGAGGGUGAUCGGCCACACUGGGACUGAGACACGGCCCAGACUCCUACGGGAGGCAGCAGUAGGGAAUCUUCCGCAAUGGACGAAAGUCUGACGGAGCAACGCCGCGUGAGUGAUGAAGGUUUUCGGAUCGUAAAGCUCUGUUGUUAGGGAAAACAAAGGAAACCGGUAA